GUACGAAUCAGUAGCAUUUACCAAGUCCAACGAGUGGGUUCGUAACAGCGAAUUGAGUUUGGAAUUUUCGAAGAAUUUCGCAUAGGACGGUAUUUGACUUCGAAUAAAAAAUCAUUUAUAAUUUUAAAAAAUCUAAAAUUAUACAAAGUUUUUCAUUUAAAAAACUGGUGAAUACGUGAAUUAUUUAAACAUUGCUAUUUCUAAAACUUUUUGCUAUCAAUAUGUUGCCGCCACGGUUAAUGAAAAUAGCAUUCAUAGUUUGUCUGAUUGUGGUACUCCUUUCACACACCAGCGACAGUGCACAGACAAAAACGCGCAGAAGAUUACGUCGUCCUACCACAGCGCCUGCGACUAGCGAAUCAGGGUCGAGCACAAACUUAGUUGCAGCA